UACGGAGGGGGCUAGCGUUGUUCGGAAUUACUGGGCGUAAAGCGCACGUAGGCGGCUUUGUAAGUUAGAGGUGAAAGCCCGGAGCUCAACUCCGGAAUUGCCUUUAAGACUGCAUCGCUUGAAUCAUGGAGAGGUGAGUGGAAUUCCGAGUGUAGAGGUGAAAUUCGUAGAUAUUCGGAAGAACACCAGUGGCGAAGGCGGUUGCCUGGACGCUUUGCUGACGCUGAUGCGCGAAAGCGUGGGGAGCGAUCCGG
rnacentral:rRNA from 1 species